rnacentral:rRNA from 1 species
GUAGGUGGCAAGCGUUGUCCGGAAUUAUUGGGCGGAAAGCGCGCGCAGGUGGUUCUUUAAGUCUGAUGUGAAAGCCCCCGGGCUCAACCGGGGAGGGUCAUUGGAAACUGGGGAACUUGAGUGCAGGAGAGGAAAGUGGAAUUCCACGUGUAGCGGUGAAAUGCGUAGAUAUGUGGAGGAACACCAGUGGCGAAGGCGACUUUCUGGCCUGUAACUGACACUGAGGCGCGAAAGCGUGGGGAGCAAACAGGAUUAGAUACCCUGGUAGUCCACGCCGUAAACGAUGAGUGCUAAGUGUUGGGGGGUUUCCGCCCCUCAGUGCUGCAGCUAACGCAUUAAGCACUCCGCCUGGGGAGUACGGUCGCAAAGACUG